rnacentral:rRNA from 1 species
GUGCCAGCCGCCGCGGUAAUACCGGCAGCUCGAGUGAUGUCCAAUAUUAUUGGGCCUAAAGCGUCCGUAGCUGGCCAGCCAAGUUCGUCGGGAAAUCCACCUGCCCAACAGGUGGGCGUCCGGCGAAAACUGUCUGGCUUGGAACCGGAAGGCUCAGAGGGUACGUCCGGGGUAGGAGUGAAAUCCCGUAAUCCCGGACGGACCACCGAUGGCGAAAGCACUCUGAGAAGACGGAUUCGACAGUGAGGGACGAAGGCCAGGGUCUCGAACCGGAUUAGAAACCCUCGUAGUCC